CAUGAUGGUAUCCUUACAUCACACUCAAAUGGAUAAGUGCAGGCCUAAAUGUACUGCAUGCCUUUGGUAAGUGCCGGAGUGAGAAGAGGUUUUAAAAUAAUUAGCGCCCAAUUCAAUUCAAGGAAAUACGGUGAUAUGUUUAACCCAAAUAGGGGAAAUGACAAGACUCCAACUAGUGUGCCGCAGCACAGUGUUUGAACAACGCUGCUCUACAAAACAAACAGUGCGGAUCAAUAAAGUGGAGACAACAGCUUUGUUGAGAUAAGAGAGCACCUCUGGUUGUAAAAUCAUCUUCAGACCCGACUUUCCCCAUGACGCCCCCUCCUUCUCCCCUUUCACCAACAUGUCCCUCCCUGCCUGCGAGCUACAGUGUCCGGCAAGUAUCAACAAAGAAAAAGUCUCCAGGUUUUCAUCCGGUCUGUGGGAAGCGGGCUAAGCCUGUCAGACAGAAAGCGGGGUGAAAGUAGGUGUUGAUGCGGGGGGUGCAAAAAGAAAGAUGACGCUAAGCCUGUGAGACACAAAGCGGGGUAAACAAAGUGACAAGAAAGAUGAGAUGGUCAGAAGUGUGCCUGACUAAUAACUAAUAAUUAAUAAGCAAACUGUGCCUGACUAAUAACUAAUAAGCAAACUGUGGCUGACUAAUAACUAAUAAGCAAAGUGUGUCUGACUAAUUAGUAAUAAGUAAUAAGUAAUACGCAAACUCACCAGGCAGCAGGAACGCCCAGAGGAAGCCCAGGAGGGGCAAAGGCCGAGGAAUGUGAGUCCGCUCCCUCGUCCUGGCUUUCGGCCCCGACACCCCUGCAGGAGACAGGGAGCGGGCUGGGGGCGACCAGGGGGAGCAGGGGGGCUGCUGGUAGCCGAGCAGGAGGCUCGGGGCUCGGACACGCCGCCAACAAGACUCCGCCGCUAAAGCCUCAGCACGCAGCACGCAGCACAAUCCAGGCCGGAAAAGAAAGAUUAAUGCGCCCUCAUGCGUCCUCCGAUCUUAGCUUCCGGUCAUAUUUGGGCUGCAAUCCCUCGCUUUUGUCGCCUCAGUCCGGGACGUCGGCCGAGCAUUCUACACCGCCAUGUUGUGUGUGUGUGUGUGUGUGUGUGUGUGUGUGUGUGUGUGUGUGUGUGUGUGUGUGUGUGUGUGUGUGUGUGUGUGUGUGUGUGUGUGUGUGUGUCAGGAAAAAGGGGAGCGGGAGCAGAGAGCCAAAGGGAGGCCUCUUCAAUAUAUACUACAGCGACCUCAGCUGGCGCUUUUUGGCUAUUGCAGCACCUUUGCAACACAUACAGUGGUGGUCAAAAGUCUAGGUACACCUGUAAAGAACAUCAUGUCGUGGCUGUCUUCACUUUCCAAUCAUGUCUACAACUGUUAUAUUUUUGUGAUGUAGUGAUUGGAGCACAUACUUGUUGCUCACAAAAAUAUUCAUGAAGUUUGCUUCUUUUAUGAAUUUAUUAUGUCUCCACUGAAAAUGUGAGGGUCAAAAGUAUACAUACAGCAAUGUUCAUAUUUGCUUCCAUGUCCCUUGGCAAGUUUCACUGCAAUAAGGCACUUUUGGUAGCCAUCCACAAGCUUCUGUGCACAUUUUUCACCACAAAAUUGCUGCAGUUCAGCCAAAUGUGUGACAUGUACUUGUUUCUUCAGCAUUGUCCACACCUUUAAGUCAGGACUUUGGGAAAGCCAUUCUAAAACCUUCAUUCUAGCCUGAUUUAGCCAUUCCUUGACCACAUUUGAGGUGUAAUUUGUGGUCAUUGUCCUGUUGGAACACCCAACUGUGCCCAAGACCCAACCUCCCCCCUGAUGAUUUAGGUAGGUUGUCCUGAACAAUUUGGAGCUAAUCCUCCUUUUUCAUUGUCCCAUUUAAAACAGCAGUUCCAUUGGCAGCAGAACAGUCCCAGAGCAUAAUACUACCACCACCAUGCUUGACGGGGUCUUCAAUGGCAGCCCGGGGGCCAGAUGACAUCAUUUCAGGUACUUCCUCCUGUUCUACAUAAGACUUUGGACCACGAGCAACACAUUGGCAUAUCUUUACAUCACAGGUGUCAAACUCAAGGCCCAGGACUACAUGUGGUCCGUCACUUCAUUUCAUUUGGCCAUCCAAAGCCAGGAAAUAAUACGUAUCAAUAAAGCACUGUAACUUUUCUAACUAA